GUAGCAAUACAUCACCGGCGGACGGGUGCGUAACGCGUGGGAAUGUACCUAUUGGUUCGGAACAACUGAGGGAAACUUCAGCUAAUACCGAAUGAGCCCGAAAGGGGAAAGAUUUCUCGCCAAUGGAUCAGCCCGCGUCCGAUUAGCUAGUUGGUGGGGUAAAAGCCUACCAAGGCGACGAUCGGUAGCUGUUCUGAGAGGAAGAUCAGCCACACUGGGACUGAGACACGGCCCAGACUCCUACGGGAGGCAGCAGUUGGGAAUCUUGGACAAUGGGGGAAACCCUGAUCCAGCCAUGCCGCGUGAGUGAUGAAGGCCUUCGGG
rnacentral:rRNA from 1 species